UGGGCCCUUAGCUCAACCGGCAGAGCAGCGGACUCAUAAUCCGUCGGUUCCAGGUUCGAGUCCUGGAGGGCCCAU
rnacentral:tRNA from 1 species